rnacentral:rRNA from 1 species
CCUACGGGAGGCAGCAGUGGGGAAUCUUGCGCAAUGGGCGAAAGCCUGACGCAGCCAUGCCGCGUGAAUGAUGAAGGUCUUAGGAUUGUAAAAAUUCUUUCACCGGGGACGAUAAUGACGGUACCCGGAGAAGAAGCCCCGGCUAACUUCGUGCCAGCAGCCGCGGUAAUACGAAGGGGGGCUAGCGUUGCUCGGAAUUACUGGGCGUAAAGGGAGCGUAGGCGGAUAGUUUAGUCAGAGGUGAAAGCCCAGGGCUCAACCUUGGAAUUGCCUUUGAUACUGGCUAUCUUGAGUAUGGGAGAGGUUAGCGGAACUCCGAGUGUAGAGGUGAAAUUCGUAGAUAUUCGGAAGAACACCAGUGGCGAAGGCGGCUAACUGGCCCAUUACUGACGCUGAGGCUCGAAAGCGUGGGGAGCAAACAGGAUUAGAUACCCUGGUAGUCCACGCCGUAAACGAUGAGUGCUAGUUGUCGGCAUGCAUGCAUGUCGGUGACGCAGCUAACGACAUUAAGACACCUCCGCCGUCGGGGAGGUACGGUCGCGAGAGUUAAACGUAACGUAAAGGAAGUUAGACGGUCGUUGAGACGUUGCCGACGGACGACGACGAGGGGAGGUUAGG